ACAUACGGCCAUACCUGCGAGAGAAUACGGGAUCCCGUCCGCUCUCCCCUAGUCAAACUUGCAAGGGGCAGAUUAGUAGUUGGGUCGGUGACGAUAUAUGAAUACCUGCUGGCGGAUAUU
rfam:Ophiocordyceps unilateralis strain SC16a Contig_1715, whole genome shotgun sequence.